rnacentral:rRNA from 1 species
AGCGGUUUUCCGGAUAUUGGGCGUAAGAGCUCGUAGGCGGUUUGUCGCGUCUGCCGUGAAAGUCCGGGGCUCAACUCCGGAUCUGCGGUGGGUACGGGCAGACUAGAGUGAUGUAGGGGAGACUGGAAUUCCUGGUGUAGCGGUGAAAUGCGCAGAUAUCAGGAGGAACACCGAUGGCGAAGGCAGGUCUCUGGGCAUUAACUGACGCUGAGGAGCGAAAGCAUGGGGAGCGAACAGGAUUAGAUACCCUGGUAGUCCAUGCCGUAAACGUUGGGCGCUAGGUGUGGGGAACCUUCCACGUUCUCCGUGCCGUAGCUAACGCAUUAAGCGCCCCGCCUGGGGAGUACGGCCGCAAGGCUAAAACUCAAAGGAAUUGACGGGGCCCCGCACAAGCGGCGGAGCAUGUUGCUUAAUUCGAUGCAACGCGAAGAACCUUACCUGGGUUUGAACUGCUGGAGACAUCCUCAGAGAUGAGGCUUUCCCUUCGGGGACCCCAGCAGAGGUGCUGCAUGGCUGUCGUCAGCUCGUGCCGUGAGGUGUUGGGUUAAGUCCCGCAACGAGCGCAACCCCUGCCCCUAGUUGCCAGCGGUUCGGCCGGGGACUCUAGGGGGACUGCCGGUGACAAACCGGAGGAAGGUGGGGAUGACGUCAAGUCAUCAUGGCCUCUAUGUCCAGGGCUACACACGUACUACAAUGGUCGGUACAAAGGGCUGCAAACCCGCGAGGGGGAGCUAAUCCCAAAAAGCCGGCCUCAGUUCGGAUUGGGGUCUGCAACUCGACCCCGUGAAGUUGGAGUCGCUAGUAAUCGCAGAUCAGCAUUGCUGCGGUGAAUACGUUCCCGGGGCUUGUACACACCGCCCGUCACACCACGAAAGUGGGCAACACCCGAAGCCGGUGGCCUAACCCUUGUGGAGGGAGCCGUCGAAGGUGGGGCUCGCGAUUGGGGUGAAGUCGUAACAAGGUAACC